AUGUAAACUCCAGCUCCUGGACUAGAGAGUGAAUGCAUGGGGCAAAGAUACUGGAGGGCCAGAGAAAGCAAGCUUGAAACAGAGAGGAAUGGGUCACUUUGGUGGAGGAAAUUGGGCCACCAAGCAGCCCUAUGGAGAGGCCAAUGUGGAGAGAAACUGAGGCCUUCCACCAAAAGCCAGCACCAACUUGCUAUCCAUAGAUGGGGUCUUGCUAUGUUGCCCAGGCUGGUCUGGAAUUCCUGAGCUCAAUGGAUCCUCCCACCUUGUCCUCCCAAAGUGCUGGGAUUACAGGUGUGAGCCACCACGCCUAGCCUGGUGUAGAGCUUUGUUUAGGACACUUAUGGGGGCAUAAGACCAAAAAGGUUGGUGCAGUCUGUGAAGAGCCUUGAAAGCCUGUCGUUCUCCUCAGCUCCACCCACUUCAUAGCAUUACCAAAAGUGCUGCACAGCCAGAAAGAGGAAGUCUCCCCUGCUGAGUGUGCAAGAGGAAGCACAAGAAGGCUCUGAGGGCCUGUGAGCCAUAAUGACUGAUUUCACCUAUGAGCCAAUUGCAGAGGCAACAGAAGACCAGCGCACC
rnacentral:antisense_RNA from 1 species